GUUUUCCAUUCUGUCAGUGGCACACUCAGCAGCUCCUGCCAUAAGCACAAGUCCAAGCUGCUGAUGGCAGCGAAGGGAAAGUCUGUGCUGCGUGGGAGAUCUCUGGACUCCCACAGUGAAUGUGCACAUUUUAGUGCAGGAGUUCAAUGUCCAUUACCAGAUACUAAAAUAAGCUUGGUUCCCUCUGCCUCCAAUACUCACUUUGUGGUUGUUGUGUUCUUUCCUAACCAUUCCAGCUGGAUGGUCCCGUGGGCUCCUGACUGCUCCUACCUCUCCACGUGGCAGGAAACAGAAGGUGAUGUUUCCAAAGGAACUGACCCACAACCUUGGAAGUCUGUUGCCUGGUUCUGAGGAGUAAAUGGGAAGGUUACAGGAGCUAAAGCUGGAUGUAAUAAAUUCCUAAACCUUAAUAACAAAAGAAGCUUCUUUAAUGGAGAAGUUAACAGUCCUGUGAGGGGAUUAUUUUUUUAACUCAGAGGCUGACUGACACUGUCAUCGUUCUCCAGCGUCUCAGCCAUCCCAGCAGAGCACUGGGUGGAUCCUUCUGUCUCUGCUGGAGGUUCAGCUUCACAGCCCAGGGGAGGAGUCACUGCUGGGGCAGAAGUCACAGAGUGACUCUGCUGCUCCCCAAGCUCCUGCCAGGAUUGUGGACACAGGUAGAAAUUAUGGGAAAGAAAGUGACUCAGUUGAGCUGUUUUGUUCUGAAAUUGUGUUUGUUAGGGAAAAAAGGUAAGGAUGAGAAAUCUUGGGCUGAAUAGAUUUUUUUCCAUGAAAUACCAAAAGCAAUAUUGGGAAACUUACUGUUUCUGUUGGUAAUGGCUAUAUGCUCCUGCACUUAUCCUAUUAGUUUUCCUUUCAAAUAUCAGAAAUUCAGAGACUCUUCAAAUUGAAUUGUCUCCCGUCCAUGGUAUUUCCUUGGUUGUUUUUCAAAACAAAAAUGCUUGGUCAGUAAUAGUUAAAAACUCUUGAAAUGCAUUUUUUCACGACCAAUGAAAAUGCUGUAUGACAGGCAAGGAACACAGCCAGGAGAAGGUGAUGCAUUAAUUCUUGAGUGGAGAUGAACCUGUUGUCCGUAGUGGGGAAGCUUCUCUGCCCCUUCAGAGCACAGGGACUGAGUUUGGCUUGAUUGGAGCCAAGGCAGUCCAGGCUUUCCCUGCCUGCUUAGGUGGGGUGGGCACCUGUGACACCGGAGCUGGGGAGGAACUUCAACCCUUCUGAGGGCUGACCCCCUUUAUUGUUCCAGCAGAGCCCUUUUGGGGGAAUGUACACUUGUAAAUUGUUAAAGCAACGUGCUGCUGCCCAGGGCAGUUUGACUCUUUUUGACUCACCCUUCUUCGGGGGUGAGGAAAAAAGGCUGGGGAGGA